rnacentral:rRNA from 1 species
UACAGAGGUCUCAAGCGUUGUUCGGAUUCAUUGGGCGUAAAGGGUGCGUAGGCGGCGCGGUAAGUCGGGUGUGAAAUUUCGAGGCUUAACUUCGAAACUGCAUUCGAUACUGCCGUGCUCGAGGACUGGAGAGGAGACUGGAAUUUACGGUGUAGCGGUGAAAUGCGUAGACAUCGUAAGGAAGACCAGUGGCGAAGGCGGGUCUCUGGACAGUUCCUGACGUGAGGCACGAAGGCCAGGGGAGCAAACGGG